GACUGAGACACGGCCCAGACUCCUACGGGAGGCAGCAGUGGGGAAUAUUGGACAAUGGGGGCAACCCUGAUCCAGCCAUGCCGCGUGUGUGAAGAAGGCUUUCGGGUUGUAAAGCACUUUCAGCGAGGAGGAAAGGGUGUAGAUUAAUACUCUGCAUCUAUGACGUUACUCGCAGAAGAAGCACCGGCUAACUCCGUGCCAGCAGCCGCGGUAAUACGGAGGGUGCAAGCGUUAAUCGGAAUUACUGGGCGUAAAGCGCGCGUAGGUGGCCUAGUCAGUCAGAUGUGAAAGCCCCGGGCUUAACCUGGGAACUGCAUCU
rfam:Motiliproteus sp. MSK22-1 scaffold83_cov2730_read212, whole genome shotgun sequence.